GCCAUAGAGGUGGACGAAAAAGCGAUAGUUGUAAGGAGUUGCGAUUUCGUGCAAUCUUCCUCUUCCAGUGCCACUCUUCGGGGGCUGCCUGGCUUUUCCAGCGGGCCGCGGGCACUGGUUUUCCCGAAUGCGUUGCCAUUGGGCUGACCGCAGCUUUUCCACCCCAGGAACUUGGCGCUGGCGCUCUCGCUGUUGCUCCCGCUCUCGUUGCUGUCGCCACCGCCGCUGCUCUCGCCACUCUCUCUCCCUCUCUCGUUUUGAUUCGUUUCGUUUCGCUCGUUGGCACUCGGGUCGCCGAAAAAUGGAGACUGCUGCUGCUAGCGCUGUUGGCGCAGGAAAAUCCAUUUUCCAUUUUCCUACAUGCGGACACUGGCUCAAAGUAUCGUGUGCGGCGGACGUCCUUGUCGUGCGUGCGUCGUUUGCUCGCGCUGACGGUGUUUUUUUUGUGUUGGGUUCAGGGAACACAUCCACAUCGCAGCGGGCAACAUGGAAACAUAACCACCAGCUAGACGGAAUAACAAGAAGGCCCAACUAGAAGAAGAAUAGAAGAACACUGUAUUUUGCAAUCGCACAAUUGGAAUUUCGAAUCGAUUUAUAGAGUGUUGUGUGUGCUUUUGCGGUUCGUGGUGUGUUGCAUUUUCCGAAGAUGCCUGGUUUUUUCUUUUUGUUUAGUGAGAUUUUCUCGUAUUUUUUUUUAUCAUAUUCGGUGAAAGUGCUGUGCAACGAAAGGGAAUACGCAAAAACGAUUUUAUUGUAGAAAAUCGCGAGAGUCCCCGAAGGAGAAGGCCAUACAUAGAAACGAAAAGGAGAAGGAAAAGCGAAAACGAAAACGAAGCAAAGGCAGCGCAAUAAGGUUUUCACCUGCACACAGCGCCUUUAAAGAGCUGACGCUGAAUACUACACGCCACUUGGAGGCCAUGGAAGCGGGCUAUUUAUGGAUAGAAUAAGUAAAAGGAGUCCCAAUCAAUUUAAACAUCAGUUCAGCAUCUUGCGGUGGUUGCUACAGCGAGCUGGGCGAGAAGAGGGCACUCCAGAAGGGCUUCGCCGGCGAUAGGCGAUAGGCGAUACUGGGGUCCUCACUUUCAACGGAAGGAAAGGAGAAGCCAACCCGACCGAACCAUGAAACAUUCAAAUAUUUCCAUACACAAGGACAUGAUGGAAUUCGGAUAACUGAAACCGAGAGCAACGUAAUCAACUAGAAGUAGGCCACAUUUACCGCAUACUUCAUUUAGCGGUUAUCAAGCGCGUUUAAGAUCAUGAAGCGAACGGAUAUUUGCAGAACGCGUAAAUGAAAUCACACUACCGAACGAAGCAACUUUGAUAUAGAGCACCCAAACCGAACUGUUCCCAGCGGAUCAGUAAGAACCAGGACGAACAGCAGGACGAGAAGGAGGCGGACGAGGCCGACGGGCCAGAGACGGCAGCGAAUCCGCCGCCGCGCCACCGGGCACAGCGGUCAUGGAACCACCCGGCGGUGUGCCGCCGGACAGGGAUCGGCAGCUGGUGCUACGUAAUCAGUCGGCGGCUCUCGUGCCCGUGGUCGUAUCUGCACCACCAACGGCAACGGGUGCAAUCACGCCCACGCCCACCACGCAGCCACCGGCACAAGCCCAGUUGUCGCUGGUGCCCAGCAAGCCAACCAGUCUGAGUCUUCAGCCGCAUGUCGUGCUCCAGGCCAUGCAACAGCUGUCGCCGUCGGCGGGUGGUGGCAACAACAAUGCCAACAGCACAGUCGCCACCGCCGCCGCCACGAGCAGCAGCAGCGGGAAUGCGAAUAGCGGCAGCAGUCCUGCCCUAGCCUCCACCGCCACGGCCAUAUCGGCCACAACGCAGGCAGCCACUGCCUUCAGUGGCAGCUCGGUGGGUCACCACCACCUGCAGCACCAUCACCAGCAUACGCAUCCGCAUGCCCCACAGCAGUCCCAGUCCCAGUCACAGCCACAUUCACAUCCACAUCCACAGCACCAGCUCCAGCAACCGCAUCCGGCCAGUGCGUCGAGUACAGCGCCACACCAUCACGGCUCCAUAUCGGUCAGUGGGUCAGGCGGUGGACUGCUCGGCUCCAGCGGCGGCAGUGGCAACCAACAGCAGGCCAUCGAGAAGCUAUCGCGACCCAUGGCCUUCGAUAAGAUGGAAAUGCUGGUGCGGGAGAUGCAGGAUCAGGAACAUGGCGUGCCUGUGCGACAGCAGAAGAUGUUCCUGACGUCCAUACCAUAUGCGUUUAUGGGUUACGAUCUGAUUGAAUGGCUGAUGGAUCGCCUGCAAAUCGAGGAGUCGGAGGCCCUCAACAUUGCUAAUCAACUGUGUCUGCACGGCUACUUCUUUCCGGUCAACGACUCAAAGACGCUGACCGUGAAGGAUGACUCGUCGCUGUAUCGAUUCCAAACGCCCUACUAUUGGCCCUGGCAGCACAAGGCGCCGGAUAAUGUGGAGUACGCCAUCUAUUUGGCCAAACGAUCGCUGCGCAACAAGCAGCGCCAUGCACUGGAGGACUACGAGGCGGAGGCACUGGCCUCGCUGCACAAGAACCUGAAGGGCAAGUGGGACUUCAUCUCGAUGCAGGCCGAGGAGCAGGUGCGGCUGGCCAAGGAGCGCAAGAAAGGUGACAAGAUCGUGGGAGACUCGCAGGAACGAGCUUACUGGAGAGUUCACCGUCCACCACCUGGCCAGUUCACUCCAUUGGAGCCAUGUCCAGUGCCUUCGCGCGAUCGUCAGGGCCUCAAGCCCAAUAAAAAAAAGACUGUCGAUGACAUGCAGCGCGACGUUGACUACUUGGGCAAGUCGCUGAAUCGGACGCGAAUGAAGAUGUCGCAGGCCUGCGAGUCGCUCGUUUGCUACUCGGAGACAUUCUCCGAAUAUGAUUUCUUUCUGCAGCCGGCACUGCCCUCCAAUCCGUGGGUCACCGAGGAUAUUGCCUUCUGGCAGCUGAACAACACCUUUGUGGACAUUCCCACAGAGAAGCGCGUCAAGCGCUGGGCCAUCUCCAUCGAGGAGCUCGUCUCCGAUCCCACUGGCCUGCAGGAGUUCACCAGCUUUCUGGAGAAGGAGUACUCGCACGAGAACAUCCGCUUCUGGAUAGCAGUCAAUCGAUUGCGCCGUUCCGCCCACUCCCAAGUGGCACGAAAGGUCAACGAAAUCUACGAGGAGUUUUUGAAGCCCGGCGCACCUUGCGAGAUUAACAUUGAUGGCAAGACCAUGGAGAGCGUGCUCAAGGGCCUGAAAAAUCCAUCGCGGUUCACAUUUGACUCGGCAUCGGAGCACAUAUACAUGCUGCUGCUGAAGAAGGAUUGCUACCCGAGAUUCAUACGGUCGGAGCACUACAAACGCCUGCUGGACACCGGCAUUCAGCCGUCGUACAAGAAGCGGUUUUUCAACUUUGGCGGCGUGAGCGGUGCCAAGAAGAAAAUGACAGCCGCACUGAGUAGCCAGCCGAAUCUGGGGGAUGCGGCCAAGGGGCCCAGCGGCACAUCCGCCGGCAGCUCCAUGAUGCAGGCUCCACCGCCCGGUAAUCUUGCCCGUCGUCGUGGCAGCGAUCGCAGUCUCACCGGCUCUGCCCACGAGCUGGCCGUGAUUGGUGUGAACAAGGAUGCCGGCUCCAAGGUACCGCACUCUCAUUCCCAGAGUAAUCUCAGCGAAAUACCCUUCAGUAGCGAUUCAAUUUAUCGAGGCGAUAUGCCACAGCGCCACAUGGCGAUCAUGGAUAUUGGGAUAUAUGCGGCAUACGGGAAUCGCGAAAGUAGUUUGCAGGCACUUCCAGAAACGCCAAAGACGAAGACCACCGUCCUCGAUGCCACGGAGUCGACAACAUCGUCCACAGCACUGGUUGUGGCGGCCAGCAGUGCCGUCUGCCCGUGGGAUGAGCCAGCCGAACCAGUCCCGCCGCCGCCAGCGCAAGUAAAGCUAUCCGUGUGUCCCUGGGAACUCGAUAGUGGCACAGAGUCGCCGGCAGCGGCUCCAGCAGUUGGAGUAGGAGGAGCAUCGAAGAUCCUAAGUUCCACCGGGCAACCACUGCGAUUGAAUAGCACUUCCUCGGACAACAGCGAUGUGAAUGAUCGAAUGCAGCGCAAUUUGGGCAUUCGCCAUCAGAACACCGUGGACAGCGGCGAAGCAGGCAUAAAGCGUCUGAUUCCCAACAUUCCGGAGCAGCGUCGGGCCUCAGUCUCAUUUACUCCAAGCCCCACUCCGGAUUUCCAGCUAGGACGCACUCCAACGACAACCUCCUCACCCACUGUGGUGGCCAGCAGCUCCACGCCGCUGCAGGCACGCAGCGCUGUGUACGGCAGUGGGCAAGGCAUCGCCAAAGAUCCACCAUCUGGCUCGGAUGUCGAUGCGGAAUUGGAGGAGGAACUUAACAAAAUAUCCCUGGGCGAGUCCUCGACAUCGGAACCGCCGCUUCUAGUAGUACCCACCCCCGAACAGACCCCGCCGCCCAUAACCAAGAUCACGCCACCGCCGGGAGAAAGCGAGAAUCAGGCGGAGCAGGUGGUCCUUUCGACCGAGUUGCCGGAAAGCUCCUGCUCAACGCAAGCCAACCAGCUCAACGAUGCCCCGGCGACUGUGACCACGGUCAAGGAGGUCCAAAUCGAACUGAUCGAGCAGAGCAGUGGUGUCCAAACAGAGCCAGGUAGUCCGCCCACCAUUAAGGUCCUGGUGCUAGAAGCAAUUACGCCCGUGUCCGCUGAGACCGCAGCAGCCGAACCAGGCGAGGAUCUGAAACAGAUGGCCACCACGUCCGCCGCCGCCACCAUCACCACCGAUGAUCAAGCAGUGCGGGCGGACGACACAGAAAAGGCUGCUGAUAUGGAACCGACGGUUCUGGACGAGCUUUCACCAACCACCGAAGAGUACCAGGAGGGACUGCAGUUUGGCGAUGCCAAGGACGCAGUGGACGACUUUGACAGCAUAGACGUUGGCUACAUACCGCCGGCACCCACCCCGGCGCCAUCCAUGGCGCCCCUGGCCGUACUGGACGUGGACACCGUAGACGACGAGCCGUGCGAGCCGGCAGCUCCUACUCCUGCUCCGCCUAGCAGCAGCAGCAGAGAAAUGGUGCUGGCCUCUGGCUCGGCCUCUGCUUCGGCCACGCCCACAUCCAGCAACGAGGAGGCGCGAAAGCGGCGCAAGAAGCGAAACUCGGAGGGCAAGAAACUUAGCUCGCAGGACGAAAAGGACAGGGAGGCGCGCGAAAAGGCCGGCGGCAGCAGCAUGGAUGCAGCUGACCACAAUGCGGUGUGUCCCUGGGAAGACGAGAACGUCAGCACCAACGACGGCACCUUCGUGAAGACAUAUGCCACACUGGGAUACUUAUGAAUAAAGCCCAAUCUGUUCAAGACGGUGGUCAACAAGUUGCUGAAAAGGAAGCCAUUGAUGAAGUAGGGCCAGGCCUGGGUAGCUAAGUUUAUUAUACGGGAGUAUCUAUUAUAAUACCUACACACAUGCAAACAUAUUAUGUAAAUAAAUGUAUUGAGCUGCCCGCCCAAACAAUCGCAGAAAUCGAGCUAUGCCGUAAUUACACUAACCACUUAGAGCCAACAUCGAUGGGAGUGGGAGGCGAGAUGGGCCGCAUCUUUAAGAUCAAAUUGCUGUUCGAUUCGAACGUGUUAACUUAACUUAACUUAAUGUGAAUCUUACAAAUAGACGAGAAGAAGAAGAA
rnacentral:misc_RNA from 1 species